GGCCGGGUGGUCUAGUGGUCAGGAUGUUAGCCACGUAAGCUAAAAGACGUGGGUUCGAUUCCCGCCUCGGCCA